ACUGGGCGUAAAGCGUCCGCAGGCGGAUGUGUGCGUCUGCUGUUAAAUCCUACGGCUCAACCGUAUGGGCAGCAGUGGAUACGACACAUCUAGAGGCAGGGAGAGGUAGACGGAACUCCUGGUGAAGCAGUGAAAUGCGUUGAUAUCAGGGGGAACACCAAUUGCGAAGGCAGUCUACUGGUCCUGUCCUGACGCUCAGGGACGACAGCGUGGGGAGCGAAGCGGAUUAGAUACCCGCGUAGUCCACGCCGUAAACGUUGCCAACUAGGCAUUGGAGGUAUCGACCCCUUCAGUGUCGAAGCUAACGCGUUAAGUUGGCCGCCUGGGUAGUACGGCCGCAAGGCUAAAACUCAAAGGAAUAGACGGGGGCCCGCACAAGUGGUGGAGCGUGUGGUUUAAUUCGAUGCUAAGCGAGGAACCUCACCAGGUCUUGAAAUCUAGCUGCACAUCCUGUGAAAGCAGGACUCUUUCGAAGGUGCUAGACAGGUGCUGCACGGUUGCCGUCAGCUCGUGUUGUGAAAUGUUCCCUUA
rnacentral:rRNA from 1 species